CUACAACUGUUGUUUUCCAGUAGUCAUGUAUGGAUCUGAUAGUUGGACUAUAAAGAAAGCUGAGCGCCGAAGAAUUGAUGCUUUUGAUCUGUGGUGUUGGAGAAGACUCUUGAGAGUCUCUUGGAUUGCAAAGAGAUCGAACCAGUCCAUCCUAAAGGAAAUCAGUCCUAUUCAUUGGAAGGACUGAUACUGAAGCUGAAACUCCAAUACUUUGGUCACCUGAUGCGAAGAGCUGACUCAUUUAAAAAGACCCUGAUGCUGGGAAAGAUUGAAGGCGGGAGGAGAAGGGGAGGACAGAGGAUGAGAUGGUUGGAUGGCAUCACUGACUCAGUAGGUAUGAGUCUGAAUGAACUGCGGGAGUUGGUGAUGGACAGGGAGGCCUGGCAUGCUGCAGUCCAUGGGGUCGGAAAGAGUCGGACCUGACAGCGACUGAACUGAACUGUGACAAAAAGUUUCACCAACAUCAAACCACUUAAUCCUCACCGCACAGUUAUAGAGCAGAUUUCAAAAUGUUUUCUGAUCUGUACAGCAGUGAUUCAAUAUGUUUGCAGAUUAUACUCCACAUAGGUUAUCACAAGAUAAUGCCUGUAAUUCCCUGUGCUGCACAGCAUGUCCUCCUUGCUUUUAUAUUUGGUGGCAUGUAUCAGCUAAUCACUUAAGCCCUAUGUCGUCUCUCCCGACCGCCCCCCUCCCCUUUGGUAGCCACAAGAGUAUUUUCUGCCUCUCUGAAUCUGUUUCUGUUUUGUAUGUACCUUUAUUUAUAUUGUUUUUAAAUUCUCCAUAUAAAUGAUAUCUUACAGAAUUUGCCUUUCCCUGUCUGACUCAUUUCAUUAAGCAUAAUAUUCUCUAGGUCCAUCCAAGUGGCUGCAAAUGGCAGUAUUUCAGCCUUUUUUUAAUGAGUGAGUGAAAUAUCACAGCUUCUUAAUCCAGGUAUCUGUUGCUAGGCACUUGGGUUGCUUCCAUGCCUUGACUAUGCUCAAUAGUGCUGCUAUAACACUGAGGAGUAUUUAUUUUUUCAAAUCAGUGUUUUUGGUUUUUUUCCAAAUAUAUACCCAGGAGUGGAAUUGCUGGAUAACUUUAUUUUUAAUUUUUUGAGGAGGCUGCAAACUAUUUUCCACAGUGGCUGUACCAAUUUACAUUCCCACCAACAGUGUACAAGAGUUCCCUUUUGUCCACAUUUUCUCCAACAUUUGUUAUUUAUACUAACCUCUUGUCAGUCACGUCAUUUAAAAAUAUUUUCUCCCAUUCCAUAGAUUGUCUUUUUAUUUCGUCAAUGGUUUUCUCUGCUGUGCACAAGUUUUAAGUUUAAUCAGGCCCCAACUGUUAAUUUUCGGUUUUAUUUCUGUUGCCUCAGGAGACUUAUCCAAGAAAAUAGUGCCACAGCUAUGUCAGCAAGUGUUCUGUCAGUGUCCUCGUCUAAGAAUUUUAUGGUUCUCAUUUUUUUUUUCCCCCAUGUUUUAAAUUUUAUUUUUCUAUUGAAGGACAAUUGCUUUAUAGAACUUGGUUGUUUUCUGUCAAACCUCAACAUGACUCUACCAUAGGUAUACAUAUACCCCUCCCUUUUGAACCUCUCUCCCGUCUCCCUCCCUACCCCACCCAUCUAGACUGAUCCCAGUUCUCAUUCUUACUGUUUAGGGCUUUAAGCCAUUUGAGUCUGUUUUGUAUGUGGCGCGGCAUGCGUGCAUGCUCAGUUGCUCAGUCCUUUCUGACCCUAUGGACUAUAACCUGCCAGGUGGAGAAGGGAGGGUCCAACACCAGAUUUCUUUCUUUCUUUUUUUUAAUUGUAGUUGAUUUACAGUGUUCCCAGUGUACAGCGGGCUUCCCUGGUGGCUCAGAGGGUAAAGCAUCUGCCUCCAAUGCAGGAGACCUGGGUUCAAUCCCUGGGUGGGGAAGAUCCCCUGGAGAAGGAAAUGGCAAUCCACUCCAGCAUUCUUGCCUGGAGAAUCCCAUGGAAGGAGGAGCCUGGUAGGCUACAGUCCACGGGGUCGCAAAGAGUCGGACACGACUGAGCGACUUCACCGCCGCCAGUGUACAGCAAAGUGAUUCAGUUGUACAUAUGUCUCCAUAUGUGUUCAGUUACACAUAUUUAUCUGUUCAGUUACAUGUGUAUCAAUUCUUUUUCAGAUUCUUUUCCAUUAUAGGUUAUUACAAGGUGUCGAAUGUAGUUCCCAGUGCUAUGACCUUGUUGUUUAUCUAUUUUAUGUAGAGUAGUGUGUAUCUGUUAAUCCCCCUUCCUAAUUUAUCUUUCCCCCACCUUUCCCCUACAUAAGUUUGUACUCUAUAAAAGAUUGUCAUUCUUAAAGCAGUUUGCUCUUAAAUAGCUCUGCC
ensembl:lncRNA